rnacentral:rRNA from 1 species
CAAUAGCGUAUAUUAAAGUUGUUGCGGUUAAAAAGCUCGUAGUUGGAUUUCUGCUGAGAACGACCGGUCCGCCCUUUGGGUGUGUAUCUGGCUCUUUCUUGGCAUCUUCUUGGUGAACGUUGCUGCACUUGACUGUGUGGAGCGCUACCCAGGACUUUUACUUUGAGGAAAUUAGAGUGUUUCAAGCAGGCAUACGCCUUGAAUACAUUAGCAUGGAAUAAUAAGAUAGGACCUCGGUUCUAUUUUGUUGGUUUCUAGAGACGCCGCAAUGAUUAACAGGAACAGUCGGGGGCAUCAGUAUUCAGUUGUCAGAGGUGAAAUUCUUGGAUUUACUGAAGACUAACUACUGCGAAAGCAUUUACCAUGGAUGUUUNCAUUA